AUUGAACGCUGGCGGCAGGCCUAACACAUGCAAGUCGAGCGGUAGAGAGGUGCUUGCAUCUCUUGAGAGCGGCGGACGGGUGAGUAAUGCCUAGGAAUCUGCCUAGUGGUGGGGGAUAACGUUCGGAAACGGACGCUAAUACCGCAUACGUCCUACGGGAGAAAGCGGGGGAUCUUCGGACCUCGCGCCAUUAGAUGAGCCUAGGUCGGAUUAGCUAGUUGGUGAGGUAAUGGCUCACCAAGGCGACGAUCCGUAACUGGUCUGAGAGGAUGAUCAGUCACACUGGAACUGAGACACGGUCCAGACUCCUACGGGAGGCAGCAGUGGGGGAAUAUUGGACAAUGGGCGAAGACCUGAUCCAGCCACUGCCGCGUGUGUGAAGAAGGUCUUCGGAUUGU
rnacentral:rRNA from 1 species